AGAAAGGACACAAACCCCUCCAGGCAGAAACAGCAGCAGGUGAGGGAAACUGAGGCCCAGGAGCUGGUGCCACGACAGUUCUGAGGGCCAGCCGAGAAAGCCACUGUGUCUGGAUGCCACCACCUGUGGCCACCGGGCCGCCUGAGAACAUGGCUUCCGUCACGCCAUGCCCCGCAGACCUCAUGCUGGCCAACCCCACUCCCAGGAGGCGGCUUCCGGCCUCAGCAGGCGGGGCGUGACCAGUGGACAAGAGACCGCACCCCUCCAGCCGGGGAGCGGAGGGGAGAUGGAGACCCGACGCGAACAGGCAGAGCUCAGCCAGGUCCAGAGGGACCCCCCACCCGGCCCCUGCAGGCGGCUGCUUCUCAACCACCAUUUCUCCCGUCCUAGGAAACCCCAGUUGUGUCCUGUCUCCAUGUGUGAGCCUGGAGUCUCCAGAAAAACUGAAAUAAAAUGAUAUGCUCACA